rnacentral:tRNA from 1 species
GGAGCGGUAGCAUAGUCCGGCCUAAUGCGCGCGCCUGGAGAGCGCGUGAGGGUAUCCCCCUCCGUGGGUUCAAAUCCCACCCGCUCCG